rnacentral:misc_RNA from 1 species
AACGCACGAGACCUGCGGACCUGCGGAGGGAUCAUUACCGAGUUAUACAACUCCCAAACCCACUGUGAACCUUACCUCAGUUGCCUCGGCGGGACCGCCCCGGCCGCCGCGCAAGCGGCGCCGGACUCCAAGGCGCCCGCCGCAGGGACCCAAAACUCUUUUGCAUUACGCCCAACGGCGGGAAUUUUUUCUCUGAGUGCAUAAGCAAAACAAAUGAAUCAAAACUUUCAACAAUGGAUC